rnacentral:rRNA from 1 species
CCCAGACUCCUACGGGAGGCAGCAGUGGGGGAUAUUGCACAAUGGGGGGAACCCUGAUGCAGCGACGCCGCGUGGGUGAAGGAGCGUUUCGGCGCGUAAAGCCCUCUCGGCAGGGAAGAAGGAGGACGGUACCUGACUAAGAAGCCCCGGCUAACUACGUGCCAGCAGCCGCGGUAAUACGUAGGGGGCGAGCGUUAUCCGGAUUUACUGGGUGUAAAGGGGGCGCAGACGGCAGCGCAAGCCAGGAGUGAAAGCCCGGGGCCCAACCCCGGGACUGCUCUUGGAACUGCGCGGCUGGAGUGCAGGAGGGGCAGGCGGAAUUCCUGGUGUAGCGGUGAAAUGCGUAGAUAUCAGGAGGAACACCGGUGGCGAAGGCGGCCUGCUGGACUGCGACUGACGUUGAGGCCCGAAAGCGUGGGGAGCAAACAGGAUUAGAUACCCCAGUA